rnacentral:rRNA from 1 species
AGUGAACGCUGGCGGUAGGCCUAACACAUGCAAGUCGAACGGCAGCACAGUAAGAGCUUGCUCUUACGGGUGGCGAGUGGCGUACGGGUAAGGAAUACAUCGGAAUCUACUUUUUCGUGGGGGAUAACGUAGGUAAACUUACGCUAAUACCGCAUACGACCUACGGGUGAAAGCAGUGGAUCUUCGGACCUUGCGCGUUUGAAUGAGCCGAUUUCGGAUUAGCUAGUUGGCGGGGUAAAGGCCCACCAAGGCGACGAUCCGUAGCUGGUCUGAGAGGAUGAUCAGCGACACUGGAACGGAGACACGGUCCAGACUCCUACGGGAGGCAGCAGUGGGGAAUAUUGGACAAUGGGCGCAAGCCUGAUCCAGCGAUACCGCGUGGGUGAAGAAGGCCUUCGGGUUGUAAAGCCCUUUUGUUGGGAAAGAAAAGCAGCAGGUUAAUACCCCGCUGUUCUGACGGUACCCAAAGAAUAAGCACCGGCUAACUUCGUG